UUAGACAUGACAUUAGGCUAGAUCACCCG
rnacentral:rRNA from 1 species